CCCCAUAAUCUCAACACGCCAUCUCCCCUUUGGGAGAAAACCUCUACCUUUUGAUCCUUAACUGACUCCUUCAGUUUGACUAAACUAGGAUCUCUAUCUUGUUUCUUCUUCACUUCCAAAACUAAAGCGGAUUUGGAACUACUCUGCACCAAAGUACAUCCCUCAGCUGAAUCAAGCAACCUAACACCCAAUCUAUCCAAAUAAUACAUAUC
rnacentral:lncRNA from 1 species